AUUGAACGCUGGCGGCAGGCUUAACACAUGCAAGUCGAGCGAGCGGCGGACGGGUGAGUAAUGUCUGGGAAACUGCCUGAUGGAGGGGGAUAAGUACUGGAAACGGUAGCUAAUACCGCAUACCACCAGAUGUGACCAGAUGGGAUUAGCGAGCAGGUGGGGUAAUGGUUCACCUAGGCGACGAUCCCUAGCUGGUCUGAGAGGAUGACCGGCCACACUGGAACGUAGACACGGUCCAGACUCCUACGGGAGGCAGCAGUGGGGAAUAUUGCACAAUGGGCGCAAGCCUGAUGCAGCAAUGCCGCGUGUGUGAAGAAGGCCUUCGGGUUGUAAAGCACUUUCAGCGAGGAGGCGUUACUCGCAGAAGAAGCACCGGCUAACUCCGUGCCAGCCGCCGCGGUAAUAC
rnacentral:rRNA from 1 species